CACGUAGGCGGCGAUUUAAGUCAGGGGUGAAAUCCCAGAGCUCAACUCUGGAACUGCCUUUGAUACUGGGUAUCUUGAGUAUGGAAGAGGUAAGUGGAAUUCCGAGUGUAGAGGUGAAAUUCGUAGAUAUUCGGAGGAACACCAGUGGCGAAGGCGGCUUACUGGUCCAUUACUGACGCUGAGGUGCGAAAGCGUGGGGAGCAAACA
rnacentral:rRNA from 1 species